UAUGAAGGGUGCAAGCGUUAAUCGGAAUUACUGGGCGUAAAGGGUGCGUAGGCGGUUCGUUAAGUCUGUCGUGAAAUCCCCGGGCUCAACCUGGGAAUGGCGAUGGAUACUGGCGAGCUAGAGUGUGUCAGAGGAUGGUGGAAUUCCCGGUGUAGCGGUGAAAUGCGUAGAGAUCGGGAGGAACAUCAGUGGCGAAGGCGGCCAUCUGGGACAACACUGACGCUGAAGCACGAAAGCGUGGGGAGCAAACAGG
rnacentral:rRNA from 1 species